rnacentral:rRNA from 1 species
GACAAACGCUGGCGGCGCGCCUAACACAUGCAAGUCGAGGGACGAAGCGGGGAGCUUGCUCCCCGUGGAAACCGGCGAACGGGUGAGUAACACGUGAGCAACCUGCCCCGAAGACUGGAAUAACGCCGGGAAACCGGUGCUAAUGCCGGAUGUCCUCCAUCGGCUUCAUGGCCGUAGGAGGAAAUGGUCCGCCGCUUCGGGAUGGGCUCGCGGCCUAUCAGCUUGUUGGUGGGGUAACGGCCCACCAAGGCUACGACGGGUAGCUGGUCUGAGAGGACGAUCAGCCACACUGGGACUGAGACACGGCCCAGACUCCUACGGGAGGCAGCAGUGGGGAAUCUUGCGCAAUGGGCGAAAGCCUGACGCAGCGACGCCGCGUGCGGGAAGACGGCCUUCGGGUUGUAAACCGCUUUCAGUGGGGACGACAUUGACGGUACCCACAGAAGAAGCCCCGGCCAACUACGUGCCAGCAGCCGCGGUAAUACGUAGGGGGCGAGCGUUGUCCGGAUUUAUUGGGCGUAAAGAGCUCGUAGGCGGCUCGGUAAGUCGGAUGUGAAAUCUCCUGGCUCAACUGGGAGGGGCCAUUCGAUACUGCCAUGGCUUGAGUCCGGUAGGGGGGUGUGGAAUUCCCGGU